ACUUCUUAGACAUUUAUAAAGGAAGUUUAGUGAAAAGUUUCAUUAGGGUUUUUUUAGUGUUCUUUUUCACAAAAGAAGAAAACAAGUCUCUCUCUCUCAACACUUAAAGGCCGGCCACCAUAAGGGAGAAGUAGCUAAUCAUCUUCUCUCCCUUUUUGGUUAUUUCAUUAUCCAUCUCACUACAGUAGUGGGUGUGGAUCUUUUAGAGGUCUUCUACUUUGGAAACUAAAGGAGAAAGGAGUUCCAAAUCUUUCAAGGUGGAGGAAGCUAGGAAGGAGGCUAGACUCAAGGAGUUCCAAGAACAAAGAGUUUGGAGGUGGUCCAUCCUUGGUCUUAAGUCUAGAUCAAGAGGUAUAAAACUAUACCUUCACUUUGUUCUUCAAUAUUUUUCUUAGAUGCAUCAUAUAUGAACCUAUGCUUCUUGAAGGGGAUUUGCAUGACUAUAGCUUUGAUAUUAUGUGAUAACAUGCUUCCGUUGCUAAUGUAUAUAAAUUUUGAAUUGUAUAUGCAUGCUAGUCACUAGAAAUCCCACAUAAAUCUCAUUAUUUCCCUUCACUAGGAACAAAAACACAUGAAAAUAAACAAAAAGAAAUAACAAGGGAUUAGCAAUUGCUAAUCCCUGGCAACGGCGCCAAAAACUUGGUGCGAAAAUUAUCUUAACACACAAAUUUAAUCCUCUUUUGACAAUUGUAGUACAAGUAUAAGUAGGGAUCGUUCUGGACCGGGGAUUAGGAGGGCUUGCUAAUAACCUCUAAACUGACUCAAAAACAUAAAACUAAACUUUAAAAACACUUAACAAGACUCACAAGACUCAAAGCAAACUUAAAAUACUCAAAACAGCUUAAAACAACCAAAUAAACUUAAACUAGACACUAGGAAUGACUUUGGACGAAAAUUGACUUUUACUUGAAUCAAAACACUUAAAAACACAAACGAAAACAGAUUUGAAACACUUUGAAACAAGAAACUAAAAGGGGGGUUUUGAUUUGGAUGAAGUUGUAACAAACAAACAAGUAUGAAAAACUAGACAGAUUGUAAAACAAAUUUGAGAUAUAAGAUGAUGGAUGGGAUAGCUAGAGGCUUUUUCUCCACACAUGACAUGUAUGUAAAUAACUCGAUUUCUAGUUACUACUUCAUUGAAUUAUAAACGACAAUGCUCCAAAUUAACCGUGGCAUCACUUGUUAACUCUCAGAUUUUCCUUGUUUAAUUGGAUUGGAUGACAUCAUUCGACAACCCAAAACAUUCUUCAAAAGUUCCCUACAUGACAUCAUAAUAGAGAUACAAUCAAAGAUCAUUACGUUUAAUGAAAAUCAUAAGUAUUGACAAAGCACUUGCAACUAUGACAUCAUGUCACUCAUGCUAGGAAUUGAACUUAACGCGAUCGUUUAUAAGCGACCUUUACUACAUGUGAAUAUAAGUUUGUAAUGAUUAUGUGAAACUUCCUUAUAUUCUAGCAACGGAUUUAUGCAUGCCAAUUAAGUUGACCCUUAAUUAACAAAUACAAGUAAGUUAUCAAUCAAAUAGUUAAGCCAAUUGCAUUCACGAUUCAAGAGUUCAUAACUGGAAUUUAUCAAAUCAUAUUACACACAUAAUCAUGGCUUUGAAAUCACCCCUAGCUAAGAGGGGUUUAGCCACUCAUAUUCAUAACAAAACGAAAGAAAAUGAAUUUAAACUUUGGAAACAAAAGAAAGAAAACACCUAAACGCUCCAACGAUCCAAGUUGGAUAGCAAGCACGUCCAAGCACUUUCCUUCCCUUCCUUUGCUACGGCACAAGGUGUUGGUGAGUGUUUGAAGGUUUGUUUGUAUGGAGGAAUGGAUGUGUUUAGAUGAAGGUUGUAUUGAAAUGGGGAUGAAUGAUCAAGCAAAGUAUGAACUAAAUUUAUGUUACACACACUUCCUUUUAUAGAGGAAGUGCAUGGCAAUGGAGGGGAACAUGGAGUGGUGUAGCAAUCGAGUGCAAUGAUGCAUGAAAUCUAAAAUGAUGGAGGAAACAAGGAAUUGUGUAGCAAUUGAGUGCAAUGAUUCAAUGUAAUGAUGCAUGAAGUCUGAAAUGAUAGACGGAACAAGGAAUGGUGUAGCAAUUGAGUGCAAUAAUUCAAUGUAAUGAUGCAUGAAUUGAAGGAUUAUUUUGUGAAAACAUGUUCAUUUAAGCAACAUCAAUAAGCAUGCAAUUAACAAUUAAAGGCGGA
rnacentral:lncRNA from 1 species